rnacentral:misc_RNA from 1 species
AUAAUCUUCCCACUGUUAUCCAUACUAGCCACGGGUUCUUCUCGGCCAAUUUUGACCAUAAUGGUUCCUUCAUCGUAACCAAUCACAACACGGCGUGAGCCUCUCAUGUAUCCAAUGGCCCAGACUCUUUCAAGACCAUAAUUCAAUGUGUUCUCAAGCCUGUAAGUUGUUGAAUGCCAUAUGCGAACUGUCCCAUCCUCAGAACCUGUUAUUAUUAUAGGAAGUUCGGGAUGAAAACAUACUGCAGAAACAUUGUGAGUGUGGCCUUCUAGUGUCUGGACACAACUUUUGGUCUGAUAAUCCCACACCUUAGCAGUGUGAUCAUCAGAACCUGAGAUUAGAUAAGGUUUAUC